rnacentral:sRNA from 1 species
GUGGGUGUGACUGGUGACAGAGUGAGGGAGUGGGUGACUAGUGACAGAGGGAGGGAGAUAGGGGUGACUAGUGACAGAGGGAGGGAGAUAGGGGUGACUAGUGACAGAGUGAGGGAAUGGGUGACUAGUGGCAGAGUGAGGGAGGGAAGAGAUGACUAGUGGCAAAGUGAGGGAGGGAAGGGGUGACUAGUGACAGAGUGAGGGGGGUGACUGUCACUAGUCACCCCAUCCCUCUCUCUGUCACUAGUCACUCCCUCCCUAACUCUGUCACUGUGUCACCUGCUCCCUCACUCUGUCACUGUGUCACCCGCUCCCUCUCUCUGUCACUAGUCACCCCAUCCCUCUCUCUGUCACUAGUCACCCCAUCCCUCUCUCUGUCACUGUGAAGG